UUAAAUUGAAGAGUUUGAUCAUGGCUCAGAUUGAACGCUGGCGGCAGGCCUAACACAUGCAAGUCGAACGGUAACAGGAAACAGCUUGCUGUUUCGCUGACGAGUGGCGGACGGGUGAGUAAUGUCUGGGAAACUGCCUGAUGGAGGGGGAUAACUACUGGAAACGGUAGCUAAUACCGCAUAACGUCGCAAGACCAAAGAGGGGGACCUUCGGGCCUCUUGCCAUCGGAUGUGCCCAGAUGGGAUUAGCUUGUUGGUGGGGUAACGGCUCACCAAGGCGACGAUCCCUAGCUGG
rnacentral:rRNA from 2 species